UACAUGGGGUGCAAACGUUGCUCGGAAUUAUUGGGCGUCAAGCGCGCGUAGGCGGUUACUCAAGUCGGAUGUGAAAGCCCUCGGCUUAACUGAGGAAGUGCACCCGAAACUGAGUAGCUAGAGUACUAAAGAGGGUCGCGGAAUUCCCGGUGUAGAGGUGAAAUUCGUAGAUAUCGGGAGGAACACCGGUGGCGAAGGCGGCGACCUGGGUAGAUACUGACGCUGAGGCGCGAAAGCGUGGGGAGCAAACAGG
rnacentral:rRNA from 1 species